rnacentral:rRNA from 1 species
GUGGGGAAUUUUGGACAAUGGGCGCAAGCCUGAUCCAGCAAUGCCGCGUGUGUGAAGAAGGCCUUCGGGUUGUAAAGCACUUUUGUCAGGAACGAAACAGUGUCCGCUAAUACCGGGCGCGAAUGACGGUACCUGAAGAAUAAGCACCGGCUAACUACGUGCCAGCAGCCGCGGUAAUACGUAGGGUGCGAGCGUUAAUCGGAAUUACUGGGCGUAAAGCGUGCGCAGGCGGCUUUGUAAGACGGAUGUGAAAGCCCCGGGCUCAACCUGGGAAGUGCAUUCGUGACUGCAAGGCUAGAGUGCGUCAGAGGGAGGUGGAAUUCCGCGUGUAGCAGUGAAAUGCGUAGAGAUGCGGAGGAACACCGAUGGCGAAGGCAGCCUCCUGGGAUGACACUGACGCUCAUGCACGAAAGCGUGGGGAGCAAACAGGAUUAGAUACCCGAGUAGUCC